GGUGAGUAACGCGUGGGAACGUGCCUUUCACUACGGAAUAGCUCUUGGAAACGAGUGGUAAUACCGUAUACGCCCUCCGGGGGAAAGAUUUAUCGGUGAAAGAUCGGCCCGCGUUAGAUUAGUUUGUUGGUGGGGUAAUGGCCUACCAAGACUACGAUCUAUAGCUGGUCUGAGAGGAUGAUCAGCCACACUGGGACUGAGACACGGCCCAGACUCCUACGGGAGGCAGCAGUGGGGAAUCUUGCACAAUGGGCGAAAGCCUGAUGCAGCCAUGCCGCGUGAAUGAUGAAGGCCUUAGGGUUGUAAAAUUCUUUCGCUAGGGAUGAUAAUGACAGUACCUAGUAAAGAAGCCCCGGCUAACUUCGUGCCAGCAGCCGCGGUAAUACGAAGGGGGCUAGCGUUGUUCGGAAUUACUGGGCGUAAAGCGCGCGUAGGCGGGCUAUUAAGCCAGAUGUGAAAGCCCGGAGCUCAACUCCGGAACUGCAUUUGGAACUGGUAGCCUAGAGACCAGGAGAGGUUAGCGGAAUACCGAGUGUAGAGGUGAAAUUCGUAGAUAUUCGGUGGAACACCAGUGGCGAAGGCGGCUAACUGGACUGGUAC
rnacentral:rRNA from 1 species